rnacentral:lncRNA from 1 species
AAAUUAGUAAGAUAUGAGCCAUAUGUUUGCAAUGCAUUACCUUGGAUCUUGAUGUAAAAAAAUUUAUUUGCUAAUACAAAAAUUUGAGUAGUUUAAUUUGAAAGUCUAGAUAUUUCCUAUGUUAAAAAGUAAAUAUUUUUUGAUUUUUUAAAGCCUUUUUUACACAGAUUUUAUACUUUUUUCUACAAAGUUCAGAAUUGUCUAGGUCAAAAUAUUAUUACGUAUUUUACAACACCUUUUGGGACCCAUGAAGAUAAGUUGUAUAUUUCUAAGCAAAUAAUCUGUUUGAAGAUUGCAAAGAUGUAGUAAAUGGUAUGAUCUUAAACACAAAAUAGGAAAAAGAUUGAGAAAGUAAAGAAGCUAUUCUUGAAUAAACAAAAAAAAGUUAUGAUCUUAAACACAAAAUAGGAAAAAACAAUUGAGGAAGUAAAGAAGCUAUUCUUGAAUAAACAAAAGAAAGCAUGUUUCAAUUAUAAAACAUGUAACAUAUGACGAAUAAUUCAAGAGAAAUAGCACAUAAAUAUUCAGAAAGCACUGAAAUAUAAAUCUUACACAUUAUCCGAAUUCUAGCCAAAUAUGAAACUAUAGCGGCUUUAAUUUCAACAACACAAAACUUCAUUAUACAAUUCUAGCCAUAGCAAAGUUUCUUAAUUUUGGACGAGCUUAAUAAACACCAAUUACGGUUUAUAUUUCAACUAGACAAAUUGAAUUUCAGUCACUAAUAUGCAAUUCUUGAAGAAAACAAAAGAAGGUUCAAAAGGGACUAUGUGAAUCUGCAAAAGAGAAAAAAACAUUGCUAACAUUUUGGAACACAUCCCAAUUAAGAAUUACGAUUUAGAGAAUCAGGAUGUCAACAAAAUCAAGAAAAAACAUCGCUAACAAUUUAGAACACGUCCCAAUUAAGAUUUACGAUUUAGAGAAACGGGAUGUCAACAAAAUCAAGAAAAAUUACAGAAAAUUCAGAGAUUCAAUCAAAAUAGAAUAUCCAAAAGUGAGAGCAAACACAAAUAAGAGGCAAGCAAAACCUUCUAGUUUAGCCCCUUCUCAAUCGUAUUUCUAAAUGGGUUUUUUAAAACCCUAAACUCGAAACUGAAAUUUACCAUUAGUCAAGCAAAACCUUCUAGUUUAACCCCUUCUCAAUCGUAUUUUAAAAGGAGGUUUCUUAAACCCUAAACUCGAAACUGAAAUUUACCAUUAGAAAAGUGGAAACAAGAUGGAGAAUUCCAACUAUAAUUUUCAAAAUCUUAC